rnacentral:rRNA from 1 species
GACGAACGCUGGCGGCGUGCCUAAUACAUGCAAGUAGAACGCUGAAGAGAGGAGCUUGCUCUUCUUGGAUGAGUUGCGAACGGGUGAGUAACGCGUAGGUAACCUGCCUGGUAGCGGGGGAUAACUAUUGGAAACGAUAGCUAAUACCGCAUAAAAUGGAUUAUCGCAUGAUAAUCCAUUGAAAGGUGCAAAUGCAUCACUACCAGAUGGACCUGCGUUGUAUUAGCUAGUUGGUGGGGUAACGGCUCACCAAGGCGACGAUACAUAGCCGACCUGAGAGGGUGAUCGGCCACACUGGGACUGAGACACGGCCCAGACUCCUACGGGAGGCAGCAGUAGGGAAUCUUCGGCAAUGGACGGAAGUCUGACCGAGCAACGCCGCGUGAGUGAAGAAGGUUUUCGGAUCGUAAAGCUCUGUUGUAAGAGAAGAACGAGUGUGAGAGGGAAAGUUCACA